CGUGGGGUGUCGAGCCGUCGACCCUCUCGGAGAAGGUCGGUCCUGAACUCCACCCUUGAAUAAAUUACCUUUGUUGCUUUGGCGGGCCGCCUCGCGCCAGCGGCUUCGGCUGUUGAGUGCCCGCCAGAGGACCACAACUCUUGUUUUUAGUGAUGUCUGAGUACUAUAUAAUAGUUAAAACUUUCAACAACGGAUCUCUUGGUUCUGGCAUCGAUGAAGAACGCAGCGAAAUGCGAUAAGUAAUGUGAAUUGCAGAAUUCAGUGAAUCAUCGAAUCUUUGAACGCACAUUGCGCCCUCUGGUAUUCCGGGGGGCAUGCCUGUUCGAGCGUCAUUAUAACCACUCAAGCUCUCGCUUGGUAUUGGGGUUCGCGGUUCCGCGGCCCCUAAAAUCAGUGGCGGUGCCUGUCGGCUCUACGCGUAGUAAUACUCCUCGCGUCUGGGUCCGGUAGGUCUACUUGCCAGCAAACCCCAAUUUUUACAGGUUGACCUCGGAU
rnacentral:rRNA from 1 species